GCUCGCGCGGAGCGGAGAGGAGAUGCGUGUAUAAAUAUCAGAGUGCCUCUUCUCUCCGCUAUAGCAGACCUGACACAUCACCUAAUUGUCCCUGUCACAUCUCCUGUGUGUCCUCACCAAGACCGCACUUCCCGAAGGAGUCGACUAGAAAACGGUUGGUUUAUUCUACAGGUUGGUGCGUCUCUCGAUCUCCGUGGAGUUUAUAAACUAACUACUAAACCUUUUGGGGAUUUAAAAACAACUCCAGCUCGCUGCGCGCCUCUCUUUUUCUCUUCGCUCGGCUCUUACUCUAGUGUCAACGCCAAAGCUACCGGUGUAUCGGUAGUCUAGCCUGCUAAUAGGAAUACAACAGACUGCUUUGGGUCGCUGUGGACUGUACAUGCUGCUGAAAGGAGCGGCCAGUGCCAGCUGUGGCUGUAAGGACCAGAGGUGUUUGUUUUCAAGGUGCGCCUUUUUGCGGUUAGUUCCAGCUCAUCUCCUCCCAGUGCCAUUGAUCAGUGUCAAAAUAAAUCGGGCUACAAAAUAUACAUGUAUCCCUACAUGUAAUUAAUGCAAUUUACACAAUGCCAUCCUUAUAGACUUUGACCGUGCAUGACAGCAACAAUGGUACGGUAUCUGUGCGUUAACAACCGUAUCAUGUACCAACACGUUUCACCCGGCAGGCAAGCACAACUCGUGCAAGUGGUAGCAUUGUUAAAACCACAAAUUCUAUUUAUAGGGCUGGUUUGUGUAUGAUGUUGUAUAAUAUGAUACUGUGCAGCAAGGGUAGCCUAUGUUGUGUAUUUUCAAGCGCUCCGUUCGCAUGUGCCACUGUAUCUUGCGCUCGCUUCUCAUAACGUGCGCGCCCGGUUUCGCUGCCCUGGGUGCAUCAAGUGCACAGUCAUCAGGUAUGUGUUUGUUAUAUUCUUCCAACAACAUUCCGUCAUUUUCAACAUGUCCAUAUAUUCAAGUUGUAUUGCUGAUAAUAGUUGGGUGUUUUUCAGAUUGAUGCGCCCAUAUACGAACCUAUAGCUAAUCGGUGAUGAUAUCGAACUCAGUCAGUAUUGGUGAGUCUCUCUUGUAAAAGAUGCAUAGCUAGCAGAGAUGACGAUGAUGAUGAUAUCAAAUCUCAGGAAAGGAAUGACCAUGACCGGAUUUCAAGGCCAUAAUUGACAAGAUCCCUGCAUGAGAGAACGAGAGAGAGACAGAGAGGGAGGGAGGGAUGUUUGGAAGCAACAGAGGUCCACAUUAGAGCCACAGAACAGGGAUUGAAGGAACACCCAUUGGAACCAUGGAAUCAGUCCUGGGAAUGUCAAAGCAUCUCAGAGAAACAGAUACCUGGGUUUGACUGACAGCCAGAGGUUCACUAACUAAUUGGUAUAUUCAGAAUGUACUCUAGGUUUCCACACCACCCAUAACCAAGGAGAGGAGAGAAAAAGGAGAGGAAAGGAGAAUGGAGAAGAGAAAAGGAGGACAAGAGAGGAGAUGAAAGGAGAAGAGAAGAAAGGACAGAUGAUGAGAGGACAGACGAUGAGAGGAGAGAAGGAGAAAGGACGGAUGAAGAGGAGAUAGGAGAGGAGAAGAGAGUCGUGAGAAGAAGUCAGGAAUACAGAAGGAAGACUGUGGGAACAAGAGUGGAUCCAGCCCGCUUGACUGUGGUGACAAGCCUUUCAUUUCCAUGCUGAGACAAGUCUGAUAACCUGGCUGUGGGACUGACUGGUUGUGGUUGACAACAUCUGUAGGAGGUGUGUGUGAAUGUGUGCAGACUGGAUGUCCUGCUCCCCUUAAAUCAGUCAUCUCAUUGUCUGUAUAAAAGGACACACAGAAGAAACCUCAACAAAUGCUUUUGUUGGUUAGUUUCAAAGCAUCACAAUAACAGUUUUGCUCUUUACUGUCAUGCUAUAGCUGGCAGUCUGAUCAUUUUUUUCCUCUCUCCUGGGGAAUGAGAACAAGGACAAAUAAGAUGAACUUUUUUUAAAGAAAUCUGUAGAUCUUUAAAAAUGACAAUAAAAACAUUGGAAGAGAGAUUCUAGCUAAAGCUAAAACCACUAGCCUGCUGAACAUCUGUAGUGUGUUGGUUCCAGAAGGUAAGUAGUGCUGUGUUGGUUUUAAUAAUGACCUGUUGUUCCACCUCAUGACUCCCAUCAGAUUAGAUCAAGUAUCACCCUGUGUGUGUAUGUGGUGUGUGUCAGAUCAGCCAAUGGUAGGCCAGCCGUGUGCGUGUGUGCGUGUGUGCGCGCGUGUGUGUGUCUGUCACAUGCCAUGUCUAUUCCAGGCCAUUACACAGUUAUAGUGCAGCUCCACAGGGGGCCCAAUUAGAGUAGAUUAGAUUAUGAAGGGGAUGCUGGCCACUCCCU